rnacentral:rRNA from 1 species
CGCGGCCUAUCAGCUUGUUGGUGAGGUAACGGCUCACCAAGGCAAUGACGGGUAGCUGGUCUGAGAGGACGAUCAGCCACACUGGAACUGAGAUACGGUCCAGACUCCUACGGGAGGCAGCAGCAGGGAAUCUUGCGCAAUGGGCGAAAGCCUGACGCAGCGACGCCGCGUGGGGGAUGAAGGCCUUAGGGUUGUAAACUCCUUUCACGAGGGAAGAAGAUGACGGUACCUCGAGAAGAAGCCCCGGCCAACUACGUGCCAGCAGCCGCGGUAAGACGUGGGGGGCGAGCGUUGUCCGGAUUUAUUGGGCGUAAAGGGCUCGUAGGCGGCUUGACAAGUCGGCCGUGAAAACCCAGGGCUCAACCCUGGGACGCCGGUCGAUACUGUCAUGGCUAGGGUCCGGUAGAGGGGAAUGGAAUUCCCGGUGUAGCGGUGAAAUGCGCAGAUAUCGGGAGGAACACCAGUAGCGAAGGCGGUUCCCUGGGCCGGUACCGACGCUGAGGAGCGAAAGCGUGGGUAGCAAACAGGAUUAGAUACCCUGGUAGUCCACGCCGUAAACGUUGGGUACUAGGCGUGGCGUCUUAUCAACGGAUGCCGUGCUCGAAGCUAACGCGUUAAGUACCCCGCCUGGGGAGUACGG